rnacentral:lncRNA from 1 species
GCAUUAUGCCGUAUUUAAAUGAAAACAAGUACGACAUUAUAACAUAAUUAUUCUCCCUAUCAGGAUCGGAAGUUCGAAGGUCUGAGACCAAGACAACGUCUCAUACUAAGCAUAUGAUAGAUGCGGAAAACAAUCGCUAAGAAAAUGAUGGAGAGUGAAAUUCAUAUAAAAAUAUGAAUAAAGUAUUAACAUAGUUGGGCAUCAGAUAAUAUUCACUAAGUGAAUUUAUUUCAGCGGAAGUAAACAUAGCAUUUCUUCAAAAUCCAUAGCAACAACCCAUCCUCAGCCUCGCAUGUCACCACCAGCUGCUCAAUCUGCAAAAGGUUUUGAAAACAAUUGCAGGGCUGAGUACUAGUGUACUCAGUGGGUUGAGCCAUUUAAAAAUAUUUUAAAAAUUAUUUACUGAAAAAGAUAAUUCAUGCCUUAAACAGUAUAACACAGAAUGUUUUUAAAGUGAGUCAUUCCAUGCAUACUUAAAUAAUCUGAGCUCAUAUUUUCCUGGCUCAUCUAUUGGGCGUGCUAUCUACAACUGGUUGUCACCGAAACUCUCGAGACAACAGGUUCUGGUGUACGUACACAAUUCUAGUUAGCAGUGCUAACAAAGUUCUGGUUGGCGAAGCCAACAAUGUUCUGGUAGAAGCAAUAACCAAUAGAGAGCAAAAAUAUUUUAAGCAUGACCCAUCCACUUUAACAUCUCAUAAAAGCGAGCUUAUUAGCUCAAACAUACAUUUCGUAAAUAAAGCCUCACCUGAUUUGGAGACAAUCCAAAUAAUUUAACUGAG